UGGGGAAUUUUCCGCAAUGGGCGAAAGCCUGACGGAGCAAUGCCGCGUGGAGGUGGAAGGCCUACGGGUCGCCAACUUCUUUUCUCGGAGAAGAAACAAUGACGGUAUCUGAGGAAUAAGCAUCGGCUAACUCUGUGCCAA
rnacentral:rRNA from 1 species